UACGUAGGGACCAAGCGUUGUUCGGAUUACUGGGCGUAAAGGGCGCGUAGGCGGCGUGGUAAGUCACUUGUGAAAUCUCCGAGCUUAACUCGGAACUGCCAAGUGAUACUGCUGUGCUAGAGUGCAGAAGGGGCAACCGGAAUUCUUGGUGUAGCGGUGAAAUGCGUAGAUAUCAAGAGGAACACCUGAGGUGAAGACGGGUUGCUGGGCUGACACUGACGCUGAGGCGCGGAAAGCUAGGGUAGCAAACGGG
rnacentral:rRNA from 1 species